CGAUUGAAGGAAAGCUUGGGUUUUGGAUACAGUGGAUUGCGAACAGACUCAAUUUAGGGUUUAAUCGAUUGAAGGAAAGUAUUGGGUAUUUGAUACAGUGGGUUGCAACAGAUUCAAUUUGGGGUUUAGUACGAUUUUUGUCCAAGAUAAGUUACGGAGAAACCCUAAUAGCCAUUCAAGAAAAGAUUUCACAACCCAGAAGAAUACACUUCAGGUAGAAAGCAAUAUGCAAAUCGGCUCAAUCAAUGCAUCAUCUGCCGCAACUGAGCACGAAAUGUAAUACAGUGAAAUUUUAAAUUUGGUUCUCAACUCUAAAUAUGUAUUUUCUGACAUAACAUCUAAUGAGUGCACUGCCUCAUGAUUGAUAUUCUUCAGAUGACAGUUUUGAAGAUGAAAAUUUAUUUGCCAUGUGAAGUGUCAUUUACACUAAACCUUUACCAAGGUGGAUAUUUAAUCAGAAAACUU